rnacentral:rRNA from 1 species
UACACACCGCCCGUCGCACCAUGGGAGCGGGUUUCACCAGAAGUAGCUAGCCUAACCUGGCGAAGGAGGGCGGUUACCACGGUGAGAUUCGUGACUGGGGUG